UGUGUCACAACUGGAGGUCAGAACGUCUGGUCACCCAGAGCCAUGCUGUCUUCAUUCUUAAAGGUCCCGUUCACACAUUCUGUAAUUAUGCAGUGAAUGUCGGUGUUGCACAAAGCACCACACUCGGCACUGAAGGGGACGAAGGAAAGAAAUAGCUCAUUGCAGAGAACAGGCAGGAGAGGAAGGGAAUCUAUGAAAAAGAGAAGAUGAUGUGAAGUUGAUAAACCAAGCUCAAGCGAUCCAGCCCAGGUUCAAAUGGCAACUUACCGUGAGACUUUGGGCAAGUCAUUUUAACUGUUAGAACCUCGGUCUCUUCAUCUGUAACAUGGGCAUAUAAUAGAAUCUACCCGAUAGCGUUCUUGUAAAGAUUAAAUGAGGUAGUGCAUACAAGGUGCUUAGUACACUGCCUGGCAUAUUGUUAAAUUC